AUGCCUUAGCAUUCUCAUAAGCAAACAAUGUCUUUCGCCUUUUACUAAAGACAUCCGUGUGAGUGUGUAAUCAUGGGCUUCACGAAUUUUUCUGCCACUUUCUCGAGUGGA
rnacentral:snRNA from 1 species